rnacentral:rRNA from 1 species
UAGGGAAUUUUCGUCAAUGGGGGAACCCGUGCAACGAGCAAUGCCGCGUGUGUGAAGAAGGUCUUCGGAUCGUAAAGCACUGUUGUAAGUGAAGAAUGCCAUAUAGAGGAAAUGCUAUGUGGGUGACGGUAGCUUACCAGAAAGCCACGGCUAACUACGUGCCAGCAGCCGCGGUAAUACGUAGGUGGCAAAGCGUUAUCCGGAAUCAUUGGGCGUAAAGGGUGCGUAGGUGGCACGAUAAGUCUGAAGUAAAAGGCAACAGCUCAACUGUUGUAUGCUUUGGAAACUGUCGAGCUAGAGUGCAGAAGAGGGCGAUGGAAUUCCAUGUGUAGCGGUAAAAUGCGUAGAUAUAUGGAGGAACACCAGUGGCGAAGGCGGUCGCCUGGUCUGUAACUGACACUGAUGCACGAAAGCGUGGGGAGCAAAUAGGAUUAGAUACC